rnacentral:lncRNA from 1 species
AGAUUGAUGUUAGUUCGUUUUCUACCCUUUAGAUCUUAUUUUUGCUAUUUUUCUUGUAUUUUCCAGAUUGCAAUCUUAUUGUAUAGUUAUGCUUCAGCAUUUUACGGGUUUGCUUUGCAGGGUUCCAAAGAUUCCAAGCCUGCAAAAGCCAUGAAAGCAGAUUUUGAAGGAGAUCAAAGUCUGAAAUACAUUGGGAGGAUAAUGUUUGCAUUUGUUUUGAUGUUUAUACUUGGUGGUCUCUUCACCGUAGCUCUUGAGAACCUUCCUAGACUGAUUUUACUUUUUAACAAUCCUUCCAUGUAACAGUUGACACUUUUCCAAGCACAGACAUUUUGGGAUGUUUUUGUAGUUAAGGCUGUUAUUUAUUUUCUAUCAAGGGACCCAUUUAUAGAACAUCCCGUGAAGAGCCCAUCAGUUUUGGGAAUAAUGUUUAUCUUGUUAAUUAUGGACAUGGUUGUAAAUUAAUACAGUGAUUGAUGAUUCUGAUUUGCUUAGUAAUUAACUUCUUGUGAAUUUUUUGGUAGUUAACUUCAGGGCCGGCUUAGAAACUUGACAGACCCUAGGGCGAAGUUUUAAAAUAGGCCCUCCAACAUAUUAAAACAUGCUACUUAUAAAACUGUUACUAUAACUAAAAUAAUAAACAACAAUAUCUAAGAUAAACAUCUCACAUAAAAUAAAGAUUUUGCAUCUUAUGUCUUAUAAACGUAGUCAUCAAAACAUAAAAAUCAGACUUUUUUUUUUGUUAUGCUUCUCCUUUUCUUCCUAGCUUUCUCGCAGUGUCAAUGAUUUCAUAUUUGCACAUGUUUCUUGAAUCUGAAAAGCAAAGAAAAACAGUAGUCAUCCAAAACAUAAAAAAAAUCAUAAGAAACGGUUCUUUCGAGCUUUACUCGAUGCAAAAUCAUGAAUAAUAGUUUCAAAAUCAAUAUCUUCUAACAUGUUUUUUAAUGCAUAAAAUAGCUAAACCAUUCAAUCUUUCUUGAGACAUUGAAGAUCGUAAAUAACUUUUCAAUAAUUUUAAUUUUGAAAAACUUCUUUCCGCUGAAGCUACAGUCACAGGUAUGGUCAAAAGAAUGCGAUAAGCAAUUGAAACAUUUUGAUAACAACCCACACUUUCAACAAACUCAAGAACUUCACUAGGUUCCAUAGGCACAUCAGGUAAAGUAGUUUGCAAGAUUCUCAAUUCAGAAUAAAAAUCAUUUAAAUCAACAUAUGAAGAAUUACCAUAAGAAAAAACUUUGUGAAAGUUAAUACAAUGUUCUCGUAGUUCACUUUCACCUAAUACCUUUAAUUUUUUCAAAUCAAAUAGAAAUCCAAAAACAUUUUUAAAAUUCACCAUUUGAUCAAAUCUGUUCUUGACUGAAGUUAUUGCCAUGUCCACUACAACUAGAAAGUAAUUAACUCUGAAAUCAUCUUCACCAGUUAGUAUUUCUUCACCUAACUGAGUUUCAUCAAAUUAGUUUUUCCUAAAGAUACGACGCUUACUUGGAAAGACAGGAUCAACAUCCAUAUCAUGAGCAAUAUUUUGAGCUAUACCCAAACUAGAGGCAAACCCUUCCUGUCUAAACUUCUCCAAAAACAGAACUACACCUUCUAGUUGUUUCAAAGCAUUAUCAAUGCAUACAGAUUUAACUUGUAAGUUUUUACUCACUGAAUUAAUAGCAAACAAAAUUUCAUACCAAAUGACCAUGCCAAGUAAGAAUUCAAAAUUAUCAAAUGACAAGAUUAAGCUUUCAGCAUCACUUUUUGUCAUAGCAUCAUCACAUGAUUCAUAUAAUUCCAAUAAAGCUGACCUUACUUGUGGAGCUUGAAAUCUGAUUGCUUUGACACUUUUGAUUCGACUCUCCCAACGAGUAUUGCAUAAGGAUUUCACUGUAAAAAAGGAACAUGGUCAAGUAAAAUCUUCCAUCUCUUUGUAGAACCAGAAAACAAGGCAUAUAUGCGCUGCAAAAUUCCAAAGAAUGAAAUAGCCUUAUACAUAUUGCUUCUCAGGCUGAACUGUUGCUAAUAGUUCUCUAUCUUUUGAUGCAGGAACUGAGAAAGAGGGCCCCUUUCAGACACAGUUUCCUUCUGUGUUAUCAACGGUAUGUAUCUUACCUAGUGAACAUUGCAUGUAUUAACCAAAGGACCAAGUAGUUUUAGAGAAUCUUCAACUCUCUCAACCAUAGUACCUAAUACCCCCCAUAAGUCUGUUCCGAUAUAUUCUGUUUAUAUGUAAAUUAAAAUCAAGUGUAACAAUUACAACUUGUGAGAAAGUUCGAGUUGUAAGACAGUAUAGAUUGAUAUAAGUUCGUUUUCUAGCUUUAGAUCCACCUUGCUUGCAUUCGUAUUGUCUAACCAACGAUAAUCAAAACUAAAAGCGACUUGUAAGACACUAAGAUCAGAAUAAGCUUUUCUUUCAGUAAUAAAAGCGUCUUUUAAGACAGUGUAGAUUGAUGUUAGUUCGUUUUCUACCCUUUAGAUCUUAUUUUUGCUAUUUUUCUUGUAUUUUCCAGAUUGCAAUCUUAUUGUAUAGUUAUGCUUCAGCAUUUUACGGGUUUGCUUUGCAGGGUUCCAAAGAUUCCAAGCCUGCAAAAGCCAUGAAAGCAGAUUUUGAAGGAGAUCAAAGUCUGAAAUACAUUGGGAGGAUAAUGUUUGCAUUUGUUUUGAUGUUUAUACUUGGUGGUCUCUUCACCGUAGCUCUUGAGAACCUUCCUAGACUGAUUUUACUUUUUAACAAUCCUUCCAUGUAACAGUUGACACUUUUCCAAGCACAGACAUUUUGGGAUGUUUUUGUAGUUAAGGCUGUUAUUUAUUUUCUAUCAAGGGACCCAUUUAUAGAACAUCCCGUGAAGAGCCCAUCAGUUUUGGGAAUAAUGUUUAUCUUGUUAAUUAUGGACAUGGUUGUAAAUUAAUACAGUGAUUGAUGAUUCUGAUUUGCUUAGUAAUUAACUUCUUGUGA